rnacentral:rRNA from 1 species
UACGUAGGUGACAAGCGUUGUCCGGAUUUACUGGGCGUAAAGAGCGCGCAGGCGGUCGAUCAAGUCGAGUGUGAAGGCCCCCGGCUCAACUGGGGAGGGUCAUUCGAUACUGAUCGACUCGAAGGCAGGAGAGGGUAGUGGAAUUCCCGGUGUAGUGGUGAAAUGCGUAGAUAUCGGGAGGAACACCAGUGGCGAAGGCGACUACCUGGCCUGUUCUUGACGCUGAGGCGCGAAAGCUAGGGGAGCAAACGGGG